UACGGGGGGAGCAAGCGUUGUUCGGAUUUACUGGGCGUAAAGGGCGCGUAGGCGGUCAGCACAAGUCAGUUGUGAAAUCUCCGGGCUUAACUCGGAACUGUCAGAUGAUACUGCUUUGCUAGAGUGCAGAAGGGGCAAUCGGAAUUCUUGGUGUAGCGGUGAAAUGCGUAGAUAUCAAGAGGAACACCUGAGGUGAAGACGGGUUGCUGGGCUGACACUGACGCUGAGGCGCGAAAGCCAGGGGAGCAAACGGGG
rnacentral:rRNA from 1 species